rnacentral:rRNA from 1 species
UACGUAGGCAGCAAGCGUUGUUCGGAAUUACUGGGCGUAAAGAGUGUGUAGGCGGUGUUCUAAGUCUGUUGUGAAAUCUCCCGGCUUAACUGGGAGGGUGCGGCGGAAACUGGAAUGCUAGAGGAUGGGAGAGGUAAGCGGAAUUCCUGGUGUAGCGGUGAAAUGCGUAGAUAUCAGGAGGAACACCGGUGGCGAAGGCGGGUCUCUGGGCCUA